UGGAGGCAGCAGUGAGGAAUCUUGCACAAUGGGGGAAACCCUGAUGCAGCGACGCCGCGUGAGCGAUGAAGCCCUUCGGGGUGUAAAGCUCUUUCGGCAGGGAAGAUGAUGACGGUACCUGCAGAAGCAGCUGCGGCUAACUACGUGCCAGCAGCCGCGGUAAUACGUAGGCAGCAAGCGUUGUUCGGAGUUACUGGGCGUAAAGGGUGUGUAGGCGGUCGUUUAAGUUUGGUGUGAAAUCUCCCGGCUCAACUGGGAGGGUGCGCCGAAUACUGAGCGGCUCGAGUGCGGGAGAGGAGAGUGGAAUUCCUGGUGUAGCGGUGAAAUGCGUAGAUAUCAGGAGGAACACCGGUGGUGUAAACGGCUCUCUGGACCGUAACUGACGCUGAGACACGAAAGCGUGGGGAGCAAACAGGAUUAGAUACCCCGGU
rnacentral:rRNA from 1 species